GAAGCUUUCAUAGAGAGAGAGAGAAGAGCCUUAGAGGUUCCGACGAGGCAGAGAGGUUUCUUCAGCUGCUGUGGAAAGGUUUCUUUCGAGGAGAAGAGAAAAGUUUCUGCAGCAGCUUUCUAGCUACCCACCUUCCUUCAACGUCACUCUAUUUGAAUCGCAAUGGCUCGCUCUUUCUCAAACGCAAAGGUUCUUUCUGCUUUGAUCACCAAGGCAAUCAACAGGCGAGGAUUUUCAGCGGCUGCUGCUGCACCACAAGGAGUUGUGUCCAGAGGAGGAGCUUCCAUGGUCAAGAAAACUGCGGAGGAGAAGAUUGGAUCCGCCGAGAAGGUCGCAUGGAUUCCAGACCCCCGUACCGGAUGCUAUAGACCAGAGAAUUUAGCGGAGGAGAUUGAUGCGGCCGAGCUAAGAGCUAUGCUGUUGAAGAAGAAUUGAACUAAGAAACAAAUAAAGUCUUUUUCUUGGUUUAUAGACCUUGUAUAAAGAAACAAGAAGGGAUGGAUAUCUCAAGAAUUGGCUGCUGAUCUUUGCGUGUCUUUUGUUUUGUAUCUUUUCUGUGGCUCCUCUGUCCUCUCUGUUUAGGACAAGAAGAAUUUUUACCUUUUAAUUCUUCUUUCACAUUAAUUUUAAUUUAGUGCAUAUGGUUCAUUUUUAUAAGCAAAACUACCAAGAUUAUUUAGUUGAUUCUUGGUGUUCUUUUUCCCAUUUUCCAUCGUCUCCAUUCAAGAACUAGUCCCCUGCCCACCAGGAAAUUUUCAAGAUUCACGUCUAAUGAUAUAUUAAAUAUUAAUAUGC
rnacentral:misc_RNA from 1 species